UUUUGAUACAAGGUCAAUUUCGGGGUAGGGGGAUGAGUCAAAUACUUCGACCCCCAAUACUCAACUGGUACUUAUUUUAUCGACCCAGAAAGGAUGAAAGGCAAAGACAACCUCGGCCGGAUUUGAACUCGGAACGUAAAGACGGACGAAAUGCCGUUAAGCACAUUGUCCGAUGUCUGGGAGAUACGUGGCAAGAUAUGAAAAUGAAACUGAAAGAAGAAAAAACCAUAAUAAUUAUGAUAAUAAAAACACCCAGCUACGUAACCGACUGAAAAUUGUACAUACGACCAAUCUAGAAAACCUAUUGAAAAUUGUUCAAAAUACUUGUGAUAAGAAACUACUUUGAUAUUUUAUGGAUCCAGCCAAGUUCUAAAAAUAAAGGCAAGAGAAGAUUAGAAGCACAAAGCGAAACAAAACAUUGUAUUUAACAAAGACACACAAAGCUACACUCAGUUGUGCAAUUAAAUAUACAAUUAAAUUGAAACUACUUAAAACAUAAUUCGCGAUUAUAUUAUUAUUUGUAAAUAUCCAACUGGUGUAUACACCUAAAAUUAUGCAUAAAGCCCGCCUAGGAACAUACUAAAGUUAUUAGAAACACUGCGGACAGAAACUAUUUAAAUAUUUUAUGAAUUCAGCCAAAUGAGAACAGCAGGGAAUAUCGAAAAAGCUACUAAAUUGUUGAUGAAUUUAACGAAAUAUGAAAUUGGUUAUAGACAAUACACAGUUUGAGCGUGUAGAUCAUACAUAUGUGUGUGUGUGUGUUAGUAUGUAUUUAUGUAUGCAUGUAAAUGAACAGACGCGUACACAUACAUGUUGGUCAUUCUGCAUAAUUAUGCUACUUUAAGAAUGUUUACCUGUGUGACAAAACGAGGAAAAGGGGAAGGGUAACAUUCUGAUCACAUGAGCCAUUUGUUUUAUAAAGCUGAGAGUUUUAGCCUAGAAAAUAAUCUUCGCAUAACUUUUGGAAGACACCAACUUCGGCCGUUGUCACCAGGUUCACUUUUUCCAUUUCACCAGCUAUCGACAGAGUAACGCGAUUCCAUAAUGAACGCCUUGAACACCUUCAGUUUGGUAACUUUUAUAUUCAUCUACUCUCUUUCGGUGUAUAUUACUGAAGCUGUACCACUGAAUGAAGAACGUAUGGAAGCGCCCCGUAUGGGCAAGGAUACCAAGACUUCCAUUUUGAGUAGAAAACUAAUUCAACGUGCAUUGGGUAAGAGAAAUGCUGCAAGCGAUAAUCAGGGACUCCAUUUUGUAAUUGGUCCAAUUAGCCUGUGCGACAAAAAAUUGAAAAACUCUGAUGUGAAACUUCCAAAAUCAGCCCAAAAAACCAAUAGUUUCCGUGGUUAAUUCUAAACGGCUGUUGGUACGGUUUUCAAUAACUGCAUUCAUUAUUGAAGGUAGUUGUUAUAUAUCACAGUAUAUUGUGCACUUUUUAUAAGACAGGAAAGAUACAUCACUGUCGUAGCCAGAAAGUUACAACGCAAACAUUCUUCACCGGUAAAAUUUUUCUGCAAGUUCCAUCAUUGCAACUUAUGUAUAUUCGAAUACUUAUGUAU